GUUUAUCCAUAGGUUUGGAUAAGUUUAUCCACAGAAUAGGAUAAGUGUGGAUAAAAUUAUCCACGCCUGUGGAUAAAAU
rnacentral:pre_miRNA from 1 species